rnacentral:rRNA from 1 species
UACGUAGGCGGCAAGCGUUGUCCGGAAUUAUUGGGCGUAAAGCGCGCGCAGGCGGUCCUUUAAGCCUGAUGUGAAAUCCCCCGGCUCAACCGUGGAAGGUCAUUGGAAACUGGGGGACUUGAGUACAGAAGAGGAAAGCGGAAUUCCAAGUGUAGCGGUGAAAUGCGUAGAGAUUUGGAGGAACACCAGUGGCGAAGGCGGCUUUCUGGUCUGUAACUGACGCUGAGGCGCGAAAGCGUGGGGAGCAAACAGG